CUCCUCUGCCCCUUUGAGUGUGGCAUCACCCCGUUUUGUGUCCUUCGCCAGAAACACCCGAAGCUGGAGCCGCUGGACAGCACCAACGAGUCUUUCGUCAGCCUGCGGUCCUCCGGCUCAGGAGGCAGCGGCCAGGAUUCGGUCAAGAGCCACCUGCGUUCGGCAGCGGCUUCCUCCUCCUCCGCCCGCUCACUGGCCAGCCUCCCCUCCCAGGAGUCCCUCGUCAGGCUGGCCGCCUCUUCUCCCGACGGCGCCUCUGGCCACGCUGCCCUGAAGAGCCUGCCUGGCUACCGACCCGCCACACGCAGUUCUCUCAGACACUCCCAAGGCGGGGCUGCAAACACCGGCCGCAGCAGCUUCUAUGCCGGCUCCUGCGACGAUGAGCCGGAGCAGCUGGACGGCUGGAACCGCAUCGCGGAGCUUCAGCAGCGCAACCGCAUCUGCCCGCCUCACCUGAAGACCUGCUACCCUCUGGAGUCGCGGCCCUGUCCGCUC